rnacentral:rRNA from 1 species
AACGAACGCUGGCGGCAGGCUUAACACAUGCAAGUCGAGCGCCCCGCAAGGGGAGCGGCAGACGGGUGAGUAACGCGUGGGAAUCUACCCAUCUCUACGGAAUAACGCAUGGAAACGUGUGCUAAUACCGUAUCCGUCCUUCGGGAGAAAGAUUUAUCGGAGAUGGAUGAGCCCGCGUUGGAUUAGCCAGUUGGUGGGGUAAAGGCCUACCAAGGCGACGAUCCAUAGCUGGUCUGAGAGGAUGAGCAGCCACACUGGGACUGAGACACGGCCCAGACUCCUACGGGAGGCAGCAGUGGGGAAUAUUGGACAAUGGGCGCAAGCCUGAUCCAGCCAUGCCGCGUGAGUGAUGAAGGCCCUAGGGUUGUAAAGCUCUUUCACCGGUGAAGAUAAUGACGGUAACCGGAGAAGAAGCCCCGGCUAACUUCGUGCCAGCAGCCGCAGUAAUAC